AUCUGUUAAAACCCUGCUCUCGACCAAACCUCACACUUUGCUUUUUUCCCCCCUCAAAAUUCUUAGUAGGAACAAAAAAUAAAAGAUACAUUGUCAUUAGGCUUUGAAUUGAGAACAUCAGAAACUGUAACUUUCUUCCCCCAUUGGUUGCAAGCAGAUCUGAACUUAAAUUUAAGUUCUCUCACCUAUGGCCGACCACCUCGGGUUUGUAGUUUCGCAUAAUUAGCCACAAGAGGGAGCUGAUGAUCACCUAUUACAAGCCUUUAUUUAACACAACAAAUAUACCCCGUGUCCCAAUGUGCAUACUUUCCACCCUAUCUGCCCUAAAUAGUAUUACUAAUUACUAAUAUUACAUAGAAUUUAGGAUGCAUUGGGAUGCAGGCAUGGACUUUUGCUUGAGUAUGAAAAUGUUAAUGUAAUAAUAAAGUGAAGUGCUCCACGAGGCGGCAGAAGCACUUUCAGAGACUUCGGAUCCUCGACAACAUGAAACUGAUCAAAAGAUGUAGAACCCUCGGAAGAAAACAACAUUUCACAUCAAUAGUAGAGGCUGUGGACAGACAAUGACUUUAGAGACGGACAUCUGCUCAAGGACAGAAACAUAACCCCUGCUGGACAUGGUGCUGGAGCUCAGGGGGGGACCUGAAUCAUCCCCACCUCUUCAUUCACACAACACUCACUCAUAUCACAGAGACCUGGCUGGGAUUGAACCAGCAACCUCUGAACCGUGAGGCAGCGCUCUUAUCUGUGAGCCACAGAUCUCUUGCUUGUGCUGGAAUUUAUAUUUCACUGUUCACCUGCAUGUGAUUCUACAAUAAACCAGUUAAAGCUCUUACAGAGUCUCUCUACAUGUGUGAGAUGGGAUCUGAACCCAUGCCUCUAUCACCGAUAACAUGUUUAGCCACUAACCCAUCAUGGCUUUCACAUUGAAGGCUUGUGUUUGUGGCACUUUGUUGGAUAUAUUAGCAUCAGUAUAAUGUAAGCAAUAGUGGGAUUUGAACUCAUAACUCCAUAAUUCAAACACAUCAGGUUAUCCACUGAGCCAUUGAGUCUGGCAGUUGUUUUCCAUUUUAAUAAGUUGAUUAUGUGCUUAGCCACAACGCGGCUUUAAUUGUUUUAAACACUCAUUUCACAUUAUAUCAUAUCACUUUGUUUCAUUUGCAAACUUUACUUUAAGAUGACACAGCGUGGCUGGUUAAAUUGUGUGUAGUGUACUUUGCCAAUUUUCUU